rnacentral:rRNA from 1 species
CUAUGCGCCUUGCCAGCCCGCUCAGGUGUGCCAGCCGCCGCGGUAAUACGUAUGGUGCAAGCGUUAUCCGGAUUUACUGGGUGUAAAGGGAGCGCAGGCGGCACGGCAAGCCUGAUGUGAAAGCCCGCGGCCCAACCGCGGGACUGCAUUGGGAACUACCGGGCUGGAGUGCCGGAGAGGUAGGCGGAAUUCCUAGUGUAGCGGUGAAAUGCGUAGAUAUUAGGAGGAACACCAGUGGCGAAGGCGGCCUACUGGCCUGUUGCUGACGCUGAGCACGAAAGCGUGGGAGCAAAUAGG